CUGACUAUAUAUAGCAUAUUGGACUAAAGGAAAACUAACAAAUUACUUCGUAAGAAUUAGGAACUUUACCAAAGGCCUGAUUUGAUCAUUCUAGCUUAAUCUAGAACUUCCUGUAUUUUAAUAGAGCCAUAGUGAAUUUCCUCAAUCUAACAAAAA